UGGGGAAUAUUGCACAAUGGGCGCAAGCCUGAUGCAGCCAUGCCGCGUGUGUGAAGAAGGCCUUCGGUUGUAAAGCACUUUCAGCGAGGAGGAAGGUGGUGAGCUUAAUACGCUCAUCAAUUGACGUUACUCGCAGAAGAAGCACCGGCUAACUCCGUGCCAGCAGCCGCGGUAAUACGGAGGGUGCAAGCGUUAAUCGGAAUUACUGGGCGUAAAGCGCACGCAGGCGGUUUGUUAAGUCAGAUGUGAAAUCCCCGGGCUCAACCUGGGAACUGCAUUUGAAACUGGCAAGCUAGAGUCUCGUAGAGGGGGGUAGAAUUCCAGGUGUAGCGGUGAAAUGCGUAGAGAUCUGGAGGAAUACCGGUGGCGAAGGCGGCCCCCUGGACGAAGACUGACGCUCAGGUGCG
rnacentral:rRNA from 1 species